rnacentral:rRNA from 1 species
GACGAACGCUGGCGGCGUGCUUAACACAUGCAAGUCGAACGGAAAGGCCCUGCUUUUGUGGGGUGCUCGAGUGGCGAACGGGUGAGUAACACGUGUGUAACCUGCCCUUGACUGUGGGAUAACUUCAGGAAACUGGGGCUAAUACCGGAUAGGAGCUCCUGCUGCAUGGUGGGGGGUGGAGAGUUUCGGCGGUUGGGGAUGGACUCGGGGCUUAUCAGCUUGUUGGUGGGGUAGUGGCUUACCAAGGCUUUGACGGGUAGCCGGCCUGCGAGGGUGACCGGCCACAUUGGGACUGAGAUACGGCCCAGACUCCUACGGGAGGCAGCAGUGGGGAAUAUUGCACAAUGGGCGGAAGCCUGAUGCAGCGACGCCGCGUGCGGGAUGACGGCCUUCGGGUUGUAAACCGCUUUCGCCUGUGACGAAGCGUGAGUGACGGUAAUGGGUAAAGAAGCACCGGCUAACUACGUG